CCCCUCCCUAAAAAUAAAAAAAAAGUAACUGAAUUUGUAAAAGAUAAAUAUAUUUAUUGAAAUUUUAUUUCACUAAAGAUUUAAGAAAUUAAAUUUACAAGAUUCGCAUGGUUCUAUAUAAUAACUGACAAUCUAUACAGGUAUAUUCAACGAAAUUUAAAGAAAGGUAUAUUCCAUUUUUGUCAUAGAGCAAUACUGUCUUAUAAGUACAUUCUUAGUUUUAUGGGGUUUUAUAUGCAUUAUUAUUUGAUCAAAUUUACUCAGUCAUGUAAAUAAUUACACUUAUAUGUUAUCUUGAUGUGUCCUUUUUAUACCACAAAAGUGCAAUUAUGAGUUAAAGUUGAUUUCGCUUGUUUUUAUAUAAUUUGUUUAUAACAGAUUGUGUCUCAGUGGUUACAAAGCAAAUUGUCAAAUCAACUGUAUACUGGAUCAGUAGUAAACAUAAAUGACUGUUGUUAAACAACAAUAUCAUUUAACAAUGACAAAGUCAGAAUUCUUGGUUUGGUGUCACCAUUCUACAAACUCUGUGCAAUAGUCUAUUUGUCAAUUUCCUGAGUUAUUGCCCCUGAAAUGUUGAAUUUUAACUUUUUGGCAUUUCUUUGCCAUUGUUUUAAAAAUAUAGGAACUAGGUUAAAAGUGUAAAUGUGAAAAGGUUCAGCACAACAAAAAGUAUCUACCCUGAAAAUUGGAGAAAAAUCUGUUGACAUGUUUUGGAGUUAUUGCCCCUGAAACAUGCAUUUUUCUAAUUUUUCAUUUUUCACAUUUUUUUUUUGCUGUUAUUUUGAAAACUGCAGGAGCUAGGUUAAAAGUGUUUGCUGCAAAAAUUAUUAGCAUGACAAAAUGUAUCUACUCUGAUAUUUUUGACAACCUGUUUUUGAGUUAUUGCCCCUGAAUUGCUGAUUUUUUUAUUUUUGUUACCAGUUUUGACUGUUGUCUAAAAACCAUAAGAACUAGGUUAAACAUGUACCUUAAAAUUACAAAAAUGAUCAGCAAUUCAAAGCGUAAACAUAGUAUGUGCAUAUAAAAGUCCUAAUUAGCAAACUGGCGAUUUUUUUCACAGGUGUGCCUCUGAUGUUAUAUGACAAAAAGGAUUAAGAUAUUGACUUGAUUGUGGACUCUAGAUGCAAAACAAAGUUGAAUUUUGACUAUUUGCUUUGCAACCAGCAUCGCAUUUAAUUAGCAAUGCAAUCUUUAUUUGCCUUCAUGAAAUAUAUAUUGCAACUUUAUGAAAUAUGUAUUACCCAAUUCUUAUGUAGUCUAAUAAUGUGCCAUAUCUCCUUAAAGACUAUGUAAUUCAGCAAUUUGUAUAUGAUUAUAAGGAUAUUACUGCUCUCAUAUUCAUAAAUUGAUACUGAGAAAUAUCCUUUUGCAAUGCAUUAAAAAAAAAUGUCCUGUAACCCUUGUGUUAAAAAACUAAAAUGUACAUGUUAAAUAUAAAUUUGGCAAAAUAUUUUGCAAUACUUAUUACUGAACGGAGUCAAAAAGCGAGACAUAGGUAUGCUGUUUCCAGCAUCGGCAGCGGUGUCGUCAACAAUGUAUUAGUUUGUGAUGAGGUCUAGUUUAUGGGGAACCACUAGUGGUAGGUCAAUCAUAUUUGGUAUGCAGUUGUACUAGCAUUGGCACAUCUCAUUUCCAUGGAGAUUAUUUGGCCCUACCCCCUCAGUCAUGGUCUAUUGACUUUGAAACUUUUGCUUAUUUUACAUGUAUUAGUUUGUGAUUAGGUCAUUUUAUGGGGAACCACUAGUGGUUGGUCAAUGAUAUUUGGUAUGCAGUUUUAUAAGCAUUGGCAUAUCUCAUUUCCAUGGAGAUUAUUUGGCUGCACCCCCUUAGUCAUGGUCUAUUGACUUUGAAAAUUUUGCUAAGUUAUCAUGUAUUAGUUUGUGAUUAGGUCAUUUCACGGGGAAACAUUUAGGGUAGGCCAAUGUUAAUUGGUAUUCAGUUGUAUAAGCAUUACCACAUCUCAUUACCAUGGAGAAUAUUUGGCCCUGCCCCCUCAGUCAUGGUCUAUCGACUUAGAAAUUUUUGCUUAGUUUACAUGUAAUAGUUUGUGAUUAGAUCAGUUUAAGAUGAACUGCUAAUGUUAAGUCAACGAUAUUUGGUAUGCAAAUUUAUUGGCAUUUGCAAGUGUCGUUUCCAUGGAGAUUAUAUAGCCUCACCCCCUCUUCAUGGUUCAUUGACUUUGAAAUUUUUACAUAGUUUACAAGUUAAUGUUUGUGUUAAGGUUUUUUUAAAGGAAACGACUUAUGAUAAGUCAAUGGUAUUUGGUCUGAGUUGUAUUAGCUUUGGCACAUCUCAUUUACAUGGAGAUUGUUUAGCCAUGUACCUCAGUCAUGGUUCAUUGACUUUGAAUAUUUGCAUAACUUAUGAAACAUGUUAAAGUUUUGCUAUUUUAAUUUCAACAUUUGCAUAAUCAAAAUUACAAAAGGGCGAGACAUAUCUCUGUGAUAACAGUUUAUCUUGGAUUUCAGUGAGCCACAGCAAACAACAAAUUUAAGAAUUCAAUGAAGAACAAUCCCAGCAUUUAAUUCAUGAACCCAGAACAGCCUUAUUACAGUGUUGAUCCAUAGUUUACUUAACCUUUUUAUGUGUGUUACUUGCCUUAGACAAUAAACAGUUUAAAAUGUUUUUGAUAAAAAGAAAAUCUUUUGUCUGUUGUUGAAGACUUUUUUGCCCUCUAGAUGUCUUUUGGUUAUUUUUGUCAUUGGAUUGCUGUCUCAAAUAUCUUGAGAAAUUCUCUGAGAACUCUGAUUUUCUAGUUAGUUCGUUGUAAAGCAGUUUCUGAAAAUAUAGUUGGUUCCGUUAGUUAUACCUUUUGUAAAAAUUGGACUGUUAGGUGGUAUACAGAAAAUCACAGGUGGUGCUUAUGUGAUAUAUUUCUGACCUGACACUACGUACUUUUUAUUGCUUAAUUCUUUAGAAUUUAAUAUGCAAUGUUUCGGGUUCUUUCGGGAAUAAUCCCAGGUAAACCCUCAUCAGAGGCCGACCUUUAUAUAUUUAUUUUAUAUCUAGUAUAGUAGAUAGAUGUGUGUCUGUUUCAUAACAGUUUUUUUCAAAUUUACUACACGUGCAUAUAGGUCUACGUUGUAGCUAGUCUUUUUACAGACUAAAGAAACUGACCAAGUAGAUCAGCACCUUUGGUAAAUUAUUCAUAUAUAUAAUGAAAAGACUUAUUGUCUUUAUUCUCGUAAUCUAAUCUAUCAUAAAUCUACACGAGAUCUAAUAGAGAUAGUAGUUAUCAGUGCUAUACUGUUGAAUUUACACUAGACUGUCGUGUAUGUUUUAACACCUACCUAAAAGAGGACCCCAGUAUCACCUUUUUGCAUUUUAUGCAUGGCCCUUCAUAUAUGUAAGUUUUUGUUAUUACUGCAAGGCUGGUAAAUAUUUGUUGUAUUUUUGGUCUCAAAAUUAAAUAUCCCUUCAUGAUCUCAAAGUACUGUUUUGUUGCAUUUAUUCAUUUUUGCUUUGAUAUGAUGUAUAUAUAUUUUUUUUAUAAUUUAACUUUCAAUUAAGGGGAGAUAAUAGAACUAGAUAUUACUGCAAAUCUACCAAAUUUUACACUAUUUUGUAAAAUUUAAAAAAAAACAAGAAAGGGUACAUACCCCUUUUUAGGAUUUUAAUUUCUGAAAGAGUAAUCUAAAAACAAAUGUUAACCUUGCAUGGCAUAAUGUGCCUUCUAUAUAAAAUUCCAAUACCCUGCACAAAGCUUAUCAAAGAAAACAUAUUGCUUAAAGUUUAUUUGAAGUUUAUCAACAAAAUAUAUAAAAACAUAUGCUGAUAUAAUGAAAACUAAAUUUAUUAUAUGAAUACACAUUUUAUUAACCUAAAAAAAUAUUUAAUAAAGCUGUGGUUAAGAUAAUAUUCUUGAAUUAAUAAAUCUUUUAUUCUUCUCAUUAAUUUUAUAAUAUUUCAUGUUUUGUGAUUGCAAUUAAUAUAAAAACGUGAUUUAAUUUACCAAUAUUCAUGUAAUAACUCUUUUUAAUUGUAUUGCAAAAUUUUCAAAAUGACAAGAAAAUUGUGUUUACUUAAUGAUAAAACUAAACAAUUUAUGGCAUUUAAUAAAGUAGAUAUGAGAAAUUAUCAAUUGAAAUCCAUUUUAUUUAUAAACAAGGCCAUAGGUCAAAGGCAAUAUAAAUUUUACUUUGUUUGAUCAAAUUUGUUUAUUAAUAAAAGAAAGAUAUCAUUUUAUAUAUGAUUUUAAUUUUUAUUUUGUGAAAAAAGUAUUUUAUUGCUAUCUUUAAUUGGAAUGAUAUGCAUGACAGGCCUUGGACAUUAUACUCUCUGUUUAUUAUGUUCCAUAAGGUUAACUUUAUGUUUUAUCAGAGAAGGCUGCUUUGGACUUCAGAAAAGUCUUGUGUCUGCAGUCAUUUACAGGUAAUUCCACAACUUGAAGCAAUAUUGUACAAUGGGCACGACUGUAUGAUUAUUGAACAUUCUACAAGGGAAAAUAUUUUAGAAUAUCUUCUUUACUAUGGCUAUUAUAUGCAUAUGUACAAUGCCAUAAGAUACUAAAAAUUAUGUUUUUAAGCUUCAAUCGAAUCCAACUUCUGGUUUCGUUAGUUUGCAAAUACAAAGUGGGGCUGGCAAACAAACAAACAGAAACAACCAGUGUUUCUCCCCAGUGCCACAGUGCUAUAUUUUUUACCUAUAUUUUUUUAUGAUAGAAUGUAAUAUAAAUGUGUGCUAUAAUUUAAGGCAGAUGGUGCUAUUUCAAAUCCCAUGAUGCUAUUUGAAAAUAUUGGGGAGAACACUAACAACAAUCACUGUAUACUACUGUGAACCUAUUGUAAUAGCUACAAGACUGUAAAAACAAAUUCUUAAUAAUUAGAUAUCAGGAACAUGUUUUUAAAAUAAUUUGGAAUUGAACAUUUGUUAAGUGUUAUUUUCGUUGAUACCAUAGCAUAUCAAGUAUACUUCCUUCCUUAUUUUCGUUGAUACCAUAGCAUAUCAAGUAUACUUCCUUCCUUAUUUAUUUGUACGUCAUUUUGUAUUGAUGCAUUUGUUUGUAUCUUAGUCAUGCAAUGAAUUUUUUUAUUAACAAAUUUCCAUUCUCUAUAUCAGUAUCUUAGCUAAGUUAAAAUAGAGGGGUGCAGUUCAAGUCUGUCUUUGCUGUCCUCCCCUAUGCCCUUUCUGUGACCACUCUGCCCUAUGGGUCCUGUCCUAUGCAUUUGAUAUUUCUAUAAAAAGUAAAUACUUUUCAAUGCAAGAAUCCACUAGUGAAAAAGGUUUUUUAAAUAACCAAAAAUACUAAAAAUCCAGCAUAAUUAAUUUUCUCAAUUAUUUAAUUUUUUCUUAAUUUUAUAAACAUAAUCAACUUGUCCCUUUUCAGACCAGAAACCGUGUUAACCUCAUUUUAAAACUGUGCACCUCUUCCCUAAAAUCCUAUCUAGAACACUAAUAUGUAUUUUGGUUCAAUGAUAUUGAACUAUCUGCAUUGUCCUGUUAGUGACUUUUUUAAAACGACAUAAUUAUUUUAAAAAGUUAAUUCUAUAUAUUUAUUUACAUAAACAGUAAAUAUAGCGUAAAUAGUCAAUUAAUAUAUGUAUAAUAAAUAGUAAAAUAUCAGUAUUGGCAAAAAAUUUUCAAUAUGAAAAUUAAACUUUUUAAGUUUAUUCAUAGUAUAGUUGCUUUUAAUAAAAGAAUGAUUAGUUCAUUAUCACAAUUUCAGAGUUGUCCCAAUAGAUCGGUCAAUUUUCUUAUAGAGUUAUAUGUUCAAAUUUUAUCCUUUUUGAAGGUUGUUAUAUGUUUACUCUCCCUUUUGUUAAAUAUUUUAGCUGAUUUAUAAAAGAAUUUUCGCUCUUUUGUUAAAAACUGAACAUUGAUAUAUAUGUUUUUGUUACAAUGUGAUAUACACAUAUACCCGGUACAAAUGAUUGUAAUAACAUUUUAAUAUUUCAUUCGUUAAUGUACACUGUGGAUUCAGUUAUUUUCGUGGAUACUUAUUUUUGUGGAUUCAAGUAAACUUGCAUUUUUGUGGUAUUUGAUUUUGUGGUUUUGCAAAUGUCGGCAUGCAAGCUUAUAGAAAAUUUGUAAUUCGUUGACCAACAUGUUGACUAUUUAAAUUCGUGCCUCACCUGUUAGCCCUAAAUCCACAAAAAUUGGUAUCCCAUGAAUAAUAGUGAACUCACAGUAGAAUAGAUGAAUAUUAAAUUAGUCUAUGGUGAAUUUUCAUACUUGUAUGUACAUUAUUUUUAAGACAAAUAUAUUUGAUACGGUUAUAUUUUUGAUGUUGGUACAAGUUUUGCAUCAAUUGGGAUAUUAAAAUGUAUUUUUAUAGAAAUUAAAAGCAAUGUUGUGUUGUA